rnacentral:rRNA from 1 species
CUACGGGAGGCUGCAGUGGGGAAUAUUGCGCAAUGGGCGAAAGCCUGACGCAGCAACGCCGUGUGAGGGAUGAAGGCUUUCGGGUCGUAAACCUCUGUCAGAAGGGAAGAACGGGUAUUGGUCUAAUAGGCCUUUAUUUUGACGGUACCUUCAGAGGAAGCACCGGCUAACUCCGUGCCAGCAGCCGCGGUAAUACGGAGGGUGCAAGCGUUAUUCGGAAUUACUGGGCGUAAAGCGCACGUAGGCCGCUUUGUAAGUCAGGGGUGAAAUCCCACGGCUCAACCGUGGAACUGCCUUUGAAACUGCAGAGCUUGAAUCCUGGAGAGGGUGGCGGAAUUCCUGGUGUAGGAGUGAAAUCCGUAGAUAUCAGGAGGAACACCGGUGGCGAAGGCGGCCACCUGGACAGGUAUUGACGCUGAGGUACGAAAGUGUGGGGAGCAAACAGGAUUAGAUACCCGAGUAGUC